AACCUGGUUGAUCCUGCCAGUUGUCAUAUGCUUGUUUCAAGGACUAAGCCAUGCAAAUGUCAGUGGACUCGUGAGAUUCUCGGGAGGACUGUGUACGGCUCAUUAAACGGUUAAUGGUCUACCCAACAGAGGGAGCUCUCGGGCUUUCCAACGGGAUAACUGCUCGAAACGGGCAGCUAAUACCUGGAAGAAAAAUCCUUCAACAUUCCACCGCAGAGACCGGGUUACACUGGUUUCUGUGGGUUGGAGGAUGCUAUUGGCCGGAACAAAGAGCUGACGCCUUUAGGCAGUUGUAAUUGUUGACGCAGGCCAAUGUAGCGGAAGCGCUUCAGCGCGUUGUUGGACGAAUUCACCACCUAUCAGGUUUGAAGGUAGUGUAGUGGACUACCUUGCCUUUGACGGGUAACGGGGGAUUGGGGUUCGAUUCCGGAGAGGGUGCCUGAGAAACGGCAACCAUGACUACGGUCAGCAGCAGGCGCGCAAAUUGCCCAAUGCUAACAAAUAGCGAGGCAGCGACGAAAAAUAGUAUUUCUGCGGCCGAAUGGUCGGCAGGAUGCAAUGGAUUGUAUCUGAUACACACUGUUGAGCAACUAUUGGAGGGCAAGUCUGGUGCCAGCAGCCGCGGUAAUUCCAGCUCCAAGAGCGUAUAUAAACGUUGUUGCGGUUAAAAAGCCCGUAGUUGGAUUUGAGCACGUCACUUGUGCAUCCGAUGCUCCAGGGCUUCGGUUUUGGAACGUCGGGAGCACGAAUAGUGGGGUGCUGAGACAUGCGGGAACGUCCACUGGUACCUCGGUCAUUCAGUUGUCCGGGGUGCAACUUCGGAGAGAUUACACUCCUACAGGUGCGCCCGCAGCCGUCACUGUGAGUAAAACAGAGUGUUCAAGGCAACCAUCAACUUGGUUGAAUGUUAAAGCAUGGAAUGACAAAGGAUCGACCUUCGGGCCUCUUUUUGUUGGUUCUUUGUGCCUUGCAAGGGGAAUUUUGCGGCCAAGUCCCAAGAGGUCGUCCACUCCGUGGGGACUGAUUGGCUUGGUCGUGCCGGGAUCAAUAGGAGCACAGGGGGCUAUGGGUACUUGAGGGCUAGUGGUGAAAUACUGAGACCCCUCAAAGACCGACAUCAGCGAAAGCACUUAGCUAUUGUGCUUUCAUUAAUCAAGGACGAGAGAUCGGGGAUUGAAGAGGAUUAGACACCCUCGUAAUCCGUUCUGUAAAUUCUGCAGACUUGGGAUCGGUCAGCGCUCUGUAUUAAGACCUGAUCGGCACCUUCCUCCUCUAUCGAGAAAUCAAAGUUUUUGUGUUCCGGGGGGAGUACAUUCGCAAGGCUGAAACUUAAAGGAAUUGACGGAGAACCACCACCAGUCGUGGAGUGUGUGGCUUAAUUCGACUCAACACGGGAAAUUUUACCAGGCCAGGAAGUGGUGAGGAUUGCCAGAUUGAUAGCUCUUGCAUGAUUCCGCUAAGGGUGGUGCAUGGCCGCUUCUGGUUGGUGAAGUGAUUUGUCUGCUUAAUUGCGAUAACGAACGAGAUCUCUGCCAAUUACUAGACGUCGGUGUCGACUUAGGCAAUCCUGGUGCCUCUUCCUUCGGGGGGCUGGCCACUUAGGGUGCUGAGACGCUUGUAUGUUUACUUAUUGGGAUUACGUAAUUUCAAUUACGUUGAAACAAGAGCCCAAAGCAGGUCUGUGAUGCUCCUAUAUGUUCUGGGCUGCACGCGCACUACACUGAUUCAGCCAACGAGCUUCUGACUUUCGUCAGCCUGUCCCGAAGGGGCAUGGGGAAUCUUUUGAGUCUGAGUCGUGAUGGGGAUUGAUGCUUGUAAUUAUUCUCCAUGAACGAGGAAUGUCUUGUAUCCGCGUUUCAUCAGAACGCAGAGAAUACGUCCCUGGUUCUUGUACACACCGCCCGUCGUUGCCUGUGAUGGAUUGUUGGUAGAGCCAUCUGGAGGUGAUUUGCUUCUGGUAGAUCUGCCGAAAUUUGGCAAUACUCCCAAUCUAGAAGAGGCAAAAGUCGUAACAAGGUACUUGUAGGUGAACCUGCAGAAGGAUCAA
rnacentral:rRNA from 1 species